rnacentral:rRNA from 1 species
GCACGUCUGAGAAUAAAGAGUUUUCUCUGAAUCUGCGAAUGGCUCAUUAUAUCAGUUAUAGUUUAUUUGAUAGUCCUUUACUACUUGGAUAACCGUAGUAAUUCUAGAGCUAAUACAUGCAUCAACUCCCAACUGCUUGUCGGACGGGAUGUAUUUAUUAGAUAGAAACCAAUGCGGGGCAACCCGGUAUUGUGGUGAAUCAUGAUAACUUUGCGGAUCGCCGGCUUUUGCCAGCGACGAAUCAUUCAAGUUUCUGCCCUAUCAGCUUUGGAUGGUAGGGUAUUGGCCUACCAUGGCUCUAACGGGUAACGGAGAAUUGGGGUUCGAUUCCGGAGAGGGAGCCUGAGAGACGGCUACCACAUCCAAGGAAGGC